rnacentral:rRNA from 1 species
GACGAACGCUGGCGGCGUGCUUAACACAUGCAAGUCGAACGGUAAGGCCCUUCGGGGUACACGAGUGGCGAACGGGUGAGUAACGCGUGAGUAACCUGCCCUUCACUCUGGGAUAACAGUUGGAAACGGCUGCUAAUACCGGAUAUUCAGCUCCUGUCGCAUGGUGGGGGUUGGAAAGUUUUGGUGGUGGAGGAUGGGCUCGCGUCCUAUCAGCUUGUUGGUGGGGUGAUGGCCUACCAAGGCGUCGACGGGUAGCCGGCCUGAGCGGGCGACCGGCCACAUUGGGACUGAGAUACGGCCCAAACUCCUACGGGAGGCAGCAGUGGGGAAUAUUGCACAAUGGGCGGAAGCCUGAUGCAGCAACGCCGCGUGCGGGAUGACGGCCUUCGGGUUGUAAACCGCUUUCAGCAGGGACGAAGCGCAAGUGACGGUACCUGCAGAAGAAGCACCGGCUAACUACGUG